rnacentral:lncRNA from 1 species
UGAAUAUUGCUUGUGAAUUACAUGAAAAACGUCGCAUAGGGGCUUGCUUCGAUUCAAUUAGAUGAACUUGGCAUGACACACAGAUCGCAUCCUAUGCCCUGACAGACCUAAAUGUCCCCUCUAAUGACGGAUGAACAACAAGUAAAACAAAAACAGAGCAAUGAUACAACAAUAGAACCCCCUUGCCAUGAAAUUUGCUUGCUUCUACAAAUCGAUCAUCUCCAUUAGAUUUUUCUCGAUCUUCUUUAGUUCCCCGACCAGUUCAGACUCCAAGUGCAGUUAAGAAUUGCGCGCACACCUCACCAUCGGCACGACUCUGCCCGCC